UACAGAGGGGGCAAGCGUUUGUUCGGAAUUACUGGGCGUAAAGGGCGCGUAGGCGGCCUUCUAAGUCAGACGUGAAAUCCCUCGGCUUAACCGGGGAACUGCGUCUGAUACUGGAUGGCUUGAGUUCGGGAGAGGGAUGCGGAAUUCCAGGUGUAGCGGUGAAAUGCGUAGAUAUCUGGAGGAACACCGGUGGCGAAGGCGGCAUCCUGGACCGAGAUUGACGCUGAUGCGCGAAAGCCAGGGGAGCAACGGG
rnacentral:rRNA from 1 species